rnacentral:rRNA from 1 species
GCCAAAUAUCUAGCCCCAACAUGCCUCUGGCCUCAACUCAUUAUAUUUAUUAACUAAAACAUUCAUCAAAUCUAGUAGAGGUGAUCGAAAAAUUAAUCGGCGCAAUAUACCUAGUACCGCAAGGGAAAGACGAAAUAAAAGUGAAAACUUCAAGCGACAUAAAGCAGAGAUUCUACCUCGUACCUUUUGCAUCAUGGUCUAACUAGUCCAAUCAAGCAAAAAGACUUAAAGUUUGACACCCCGAAACUAAGCGAGCUACUUCAGGGCAGCCUAACGGGCGAAUCCGUCUCUGUCGCAAAAGAGUGGAAAGACCUUCAAGUAGUAGUGACAGGCCUAUCGAGCUUAGUGAUAGCUGGUUACUCAAGAAACGGACCUUAGUCCAACCUAAAGUUAAUUUAAUGUGACAAAAUCUUUUCUAUAACUUUAGAGCAAUUCAAAUAAGGUACAGCCUAUUUGAAACAGGAUACAACCUCAACUAACGGGUUCUACACCUGAUACACCCCCCCGCCUAAGUGGGCCUAAAAGCAGCCACCUUUCAAAGAGCGUCAAAGCUUAAUUCUCUUUCACCCCAAUCCCAAAACCCUCCCCCAACCCUUUUACAGUAAUGAGUAAUUCUAUACCCCUAUAGAAGUUUUUAUGUUAGAACUAGUAACAAGAAGAUGACCCUUCUCUUAAAUGCAAGUGUAACCCAGAAAGGACACACCACUGGGAAUUAACACCCAUGAGCUACCAAUAGCAACGCUAUGAAAAACUCCUAUUUAUCGACAUGUUAACCUAACACAAGAGCAUUAAAAGAAAGAUUAAGAGAAAAAGAAGGAACUCGGCAAACAUUAACCUCGCCUGUUUACCAAAAACAUCGCCUCUCGUAUAAAUAUGAGAGGUCCAGCCUGCCCAGUGACUCUGUUCAACGGCCGCGGUAUCCUAACCGUGCAAAGGUAGCGUAAUCACUUGUCCUUUAAAUGAGGACUAGUAUGAACGGCACCACGAAGGUUACACUGUCUCCUUUUCCUAAUCAGUGAAACUGAUCUCCCCGUGAAGAAGCGGGGAUACACAUAUAAGACGAGAAGACCCUAUGGAGCUUUAAACGAGACAACAGCCGCCAUCUCAUUUAAAUUCCAGAACAUCCACCCCAUAUUUUGGCGGCAUGAUUGUUAGUUUUCGGUUGGGGUGACCGCGGAGAAUAAACCAACCUCCGCAUUGGAAGAGACCUCCCUCUAAGCAAAAAACCACAAUUUUACGCAUCAACAAAUUGACACCAAUUGACCCAAUAUUUUGAUCAACGAACCAAGUUACCCUAGGGAUAACAGCGCAAUCCAUUUUAAGAGCCCAUAUCGACAAAUGGGUUUACGACCUCGAUGUUGGAUCAGGGUACCCCAGUGGUGCAGCCGCUGCUAAAGGUUCGUUUGUUCAACGACUAAAACCCUACGUGA